GCCCAGAUACCAACACACUGGGGGCAUCUAAUAAGUGUUUUACUGAAUGAUGGAAAUAGGCCAGCUCCAUUUCAGUAUGUGCCGGGGCUGCAAUGACCACAGGUGUGAUCUCACUAAUCCUGACAGCAGCUCAAUCAUCCCAUUUCCUAGCUGAUCCAUUCCAGUGGGGACAGUGGUUGGCACCACUGCUUUUCCUCAACGAGCCAACGACCCUUGACAAGUGCAGAUGAGCACCAGCUAAUUAGGAUGCCGGGUUGGAGCUAAACUCGGGCUACCUGAGGCUGUCUCUGAAAGGAAGUAGAAGAGCUGUGCGUGAGGGAUGCCAACGCCUCAAAGAGGAAAUUUAGACACAGAAGCAGAUGAACAGAGGGACAACGCCAUGUGAAGACGGAGGCAGAGAUUGGAGUGAUGCAUCUACAGGCCAAAGAACAGCAAAGAUUGCUGCAACCGGCUGAAGCCAGGAGAGAGGCAGGGGGCAGAUUCUCCAUCACUGGCCUCAGA